rnacentral:rRNA from 1 species
UACGGAGGAUCCAAGCGUUAUCCGGAUUUAUUGGGUUUAAAGGGUGCGUAGGCGGCCUAUUAAGUCAGGGGUGAAAGACGGUAGCUUAAACUAUCGCAGUGCCUUUGAUACUGAUGGGCUUGAAUGUACUAGAGGUAGGCGGAAUGUGACAAGUAGCGGUGAAAUGCAUAGAUAUGUCACAGAACACCGAUUGCGAAGGCAGCUUACUAUGGUAUUAUUGACGCUGAGGCACGAAAGCGUGGGGAGUCAAACAGG